CCACCAUCGAAGUACUAAUAGCAGCCGUCCCACGUCCGCACUUGCACCUGACCCUGAGACUGAAUCUGACCCGGAACAAACAACAAUCCGGCAUCCUCCCCGGGUCGGAUCCCGCUCUGCUCGUGUCCAUCGCUUCUCCUUUACGUCUUGCUCCUCUCUCUUGCCAAAACCAAAAAAUUCAUCCACGGAAAAUCCGCAGAAACAAAUAACGGUUUUGGGAGCGGAAGUCGCUGAAAAGCCGCAGACGCAAUUCACCGUUUUGGAAAACAACAACGGAGCUGACGCUGAAGAAGAGGAAGAGGAGGAGGAGGAGAAACAAAAGCAAGAAGAGGAAGAAGGCAAUUCGAGGCCGUGGAAAUUGAGGCCAAG
rnacentral:misc_RNA from 1 species